AGGGGUGAGCACCGUACCCCUCACAAUCUCUUCUCCGGAGCACCGCACAAUCUCCUUGCGUGCUUCGACGGAGUCACAAGCCACCAAGCCGUCUAGGAGGUGGCAACCUCCAAGAGUAACAAGCACCACCGGCUUGCAACACGAACACCUAGUGCCACUCGAUGCAAUCUCUCAAUGCAACGCACUAGAAUCACUCACUC
rnacentral:lncRNA from 1 species